AGCAGCGUGGCUCAGUGGCAAGAGCCCGGGCUUGAGAGUCAGAGGUCAUGGGUUCUAAUCCCAGCUCUGCCA
rnacentral:tRNA from 1 species